rnacentral:rRNA from 1 species
GGCUCAGAACGAACGCUGGCGGCGCGUUUAAGCAUGCAAGUCGAGCGGCAGGGGGGCCUCGGUCCCCCGAGGAGCGGCGGACGGGUGAGUAACACGUGGACAACCUGCCCCCCGGUUCGGGAUAGCCCAGGGAAACCUGGAUCAAUACCGGAUGCGAGGGCGGCCGCACAAGCGGCCGUCGGGAAAGGCGCUUCGGGCGCCGCCGGGGGAUGGGUCCGCGUCCCAUUAGCUAGACGGUGGGGUAACGGCCCACCGUGGCGAUGAUGGGUAGCCGGCCUGAGAGGGUGGACGGCCACAUUGGAACUGAGACACGGUCCAGACUCCUACGGGAGGCAGCAGCUAAGAAUCUUCCGCAAUGGGCGAAAGCCUGACGGAAGGCGACGCCGCGUGAACGAAGAAGGCCGUGAGGUUGUAAAGUUCUUUUCGGGAGGGGGAACAACCGUGGCAGGGAAUGGCCGCGGGAUGACGUGAAUCCCGGAAUAAGCCCCGGCUAACUACGUGCCAGCCGCCGC